CGGCAGAUUAGCUAGUUGGUAAGGUAAUGGCUUACCAAGGCAACGAUCUGUAGCCGACCUGAGAGGGUGGUCGGUCACACUGACACUGAAUAACGGGUCAGACUCCUACGGGAGGCAGCAGUCGGGAAUUUUGGGCAAUGGGCGAAAGCCUGACCCAGCAACGCCGCGUGAAGGAUGAAGUAUUUCGGUAUGUAAACUUCGUAAAAAUAGGAAGAAUAAAUGACGGUACUAUUUGUAAGGUCCGGCUAACUACGUGCCAGCAGCCGCGGUAAUACGUAGGGACCAAGCGUUGUUCGGAUUUACUGGGCGUAAAGGGCGCGUAGGCGGCGUGACAAGUCACCUGUGAAAUCUCCGGGCUUAACUCGGAACGGUCAAGUGAUACUGUUGUGCUAGAGUAUAGAAGGGGCAAUCGGAAUUCUCGGUGUAGCGGUGAAAUGCGUAGAUAUCGAGAGGAACACCAGAGGCGAAGGCGGAUUGCUAGGCUAAUACUGACGCUGAGGCGCGAAAGCUAGGGUAGCAAACGGGAUUAGAUACCCCGGUAGUCCUAGCCCUAAACGAUGAAUACUUGGUGUCUGGAGUUUAAUUCUCUGGGUGCCGUCGCUAACGUUUUUAGUAUUCCGCCUGGGGAGUACGCACGCAAGUGUGAAACUCAAAGGAAUUGACGGGGACCCGCACAAGCG
rnacentral:rRNA from 1 species